UGAAGUAUCUAAUUUCAGCCGCCGGCGCGUUUUGCGCGGGAGGAAAGUCCGGGCUCCGCAGGGCGUGAUGCAGGAGAAAUUCCUGCGGGUGCGAACCCAGGGAAAGUGCCACAGAAAAGGAAACCGCCGUCUUAUGACGGCAAGGAUGAAAAGGCGGGGUAAGAGCCCACCGGCCGCGCAGGAAUUCGCGGGCUUGGCAAACCCCAUCAGGAGCAAGGUUGAAUAGGGAAGGACGAGGCUGCCCGCUGACUUCCGGGUACGACCGCUCAUUUCUGCGUGCAAGCGCAGGAUUAGAUAAAUGGCUGAAAGAUUAUUUCUUACAAAACCCGGCUUAUUGGGUGCUUCGUUAU
rnacentral:RNase_P_RNA from 1 species